AACAUUGCGAAAGGAGGUGAUCCGAUGUCUCAUGGUUCAGCAUGGAGGUCGGUUCUGUCCGUUCGGGGAACGCGCUUCUAAGAGGCGCCAUGGUUCUCCGGGCCGGCACUCCGGCCGCUGACCAUGUUAGGGGUUGUCGGGACUCAGGUCCCGGCAACUC
rnacentral:sRNA from 1 species